AGUGAACGCUGGCGGUAGGCCUAACACAUGCAAGUCGAACGGCAGCACAGUAAGAGCUUGCUCUUACGGGUGGCGAGUGGCGGACGGGUGAGGAAUACAUCGGAAUCUACUUUUUCGUGGGGGAUAACGUAGGGAAACUUACGCUCAUACCGCAUACGACCUACGGGUGAAAGCAGGGGAUCUUCGGACCUUGCGCGAUUGAAUGAGCCGAUGUCGGAUUAGCUAGUUGGCGGGGUAAAGGCCCACCAAGGCGACGAUCCGUAGCUGGUCUGAGAGGAUGAUCAGCCACACUGGAACUGAGACACGGUCCAGGCUCCUACGGGAGGCAGCAGUGGCGAAUAUUGGACAAUGGGCGCAAGCCUGAUCCAGCCAUACCGCGUGGGUGAAGAAGGCCUUCGGGUUGUAAAGCCCUUUUGUUGGGAAAGAAAAGCAGCAGGUUAAUACCCCGCUGUUCUGACGGUACCCAAAGAAUAAGCACCGGCUAACUUCGUG
rnacentral:rRNA from 1 species